GGGAGGCAGCAGUAGGGAAUCUUCCGCAAGGGACGAAAGUCUGACGAUGCAACGCCGCGUGAACGAUGAAGGUUUUCGGAUCGUAAAAUUCUGUUGUUAGGGAAGAACAAGUACCGUUCGAAUAGGGCGGUACCUUGACGGUACCUAACGAGAAAGCCCCGGCUAAAUACGUGCCAGCAGCCGCGGUAAUACGUAGGGGGCAAGCGUUUUCCGGAAUUAUUGGGGGUAAAGCGCGCGCAGGUGGUUCCUUAAGUCUGAUGUGAAAGCCCCCGGCUCAACCGUGGAGGGUCAUUGGAAACUGGGGAACUUGAGUGCAGGAGAGGAAAGUGGAAUUCCACGUGUAGCGGUGAAAAGCGUAGAGAUGUGGAGGAACACCAGUGGGGAAGGGGACUUUCUGGCCUGUAACUGACACUGAGGCGCGAAAGCGUGGGGAGCAAACAAGAUUAGAUACCCCGGUAGUCCACGCCGUAAACGAUGAGUGCUAGGUGUUAGGGGG
rnacentral:rRNA from 1 species